rnacentral:rRNA from 1 species
ACAGCAGCCGCCGCGGGAAUACAGAGGGUGCGAGCGUUAAUCGGAUUUACUGGGCGUAAAGCGUGCGUAGGCGGCUUCUUAAGUCGGAUGUGAAAUCCCUGAGCUUAACUUAGGAAUUGCAUUCGAUACUGGGAAGCUAGAGUAUGGGAGAGGAUGGUAGAAUUCCAGGUGUAGCGGUGAAAUGCGUAGAGAUCUGGAGGAAUACCGAUGGCGAAAGCACUCUGCUGGGCCGACACUGACACUGAGAGACGAAAGCUAGGGGAGCAAAUGGGAUUAGAUACCCCCGUAGUCCCUGUCUCUUAUAC